AACCUGCCUUUGAGAAGGGGAUAACUGUCCGAAAGGAUAGCUAAUACCCUAUAUUGCCUUUUGUCACUAAGGCAAAAAGUGAAAGCGAGGCUGUCAAAGGCUUCGGCUCAAAGAGGGGUUCGCGUCCUAUCAGGUAAUUGGUGGGGUAAUGGCCUACCAAGCCAAUGACGGGUAGCUGGUCUUAGAGGAUGAUCAGCCACAGUGGGACUGAGACACGGCCCGCACCCCUACGGGGGGCAGCAGUGGGGAAUCGUGGGCAAUGGGCGCAAGCCUGACCCCGCAAUGCCGCGUGAGGGAAGAAGCCCUUCGGGGUGUAAACCUCUGUCAGAUGGGAAGAUGGGACUAGGAGCUAAUACCUCCUGGUCUUGACGGUACCAUCAGAGGAAGGGACGGCUA
rnacentral:rRNA from 1 species